AGGCAGCAGUGGGGAAUAUUGCACAAUGGGCGAAAGCCUGAUGCAGCAACGCCGCGUGAACGAUGAAGGCGUUCGGGUCGUAAAGUUCUGUCCUCAAGGAAGAUAAUGACGGUACUUGAGGAGGAAGCCCCGGCUAACUAC
rnacentral:rRNA from 1 species